rnacentral:tRNA from 1 species
AGCUCAGCUGGGAGAGCACCUCCCUUACAAGGAGGGGGUCGGCGGUUCGAUACCGUCA